rnacentral:lncRNA from 1 species
CCCCAGGGCAGUGUGGGGCUACCUGGCCCCCCUGGUCCCCCUGGCCCAGGGGGCCCACCGGGUGUCCCUGGGCUGCCAGGACAAGUGGGGGAGAGCGGGAAGCCAGGUGUGCCAGGCAGGGACGGCGUGCCAGGGAAGGAUGGCGAGGCAGGGAUGCCUGGGAAGAUGGGCGUGCCGGGACCUUCAGGCCCUGUGGGUCCCAAGGGAGAGCCAGGAGAUGCCGGAGCCCCAGGGCAGGCUGUUGCUGGCCCUCCUGGUGCCAAAGGCGAGAAGGGUGAGCCGGCGCUGCUGGAGGGCAUGCUGCUGGGAGAACCUGUGAGUAGGCCCUGUUAACCUCGUCCCCGCCAUUAACCUCAUCAUUCCUUGCUGCUACCCCAUAUCUUAUGGGGGGCAAGCCAGCCCUGUGUCUGCCCCCCCUCCCCUAGCACCUCUCUCCCCCUGGUAGGGCUCCAAAGGCGACCGAGGCUUGCCAGGCCCCAAGGGCGAAAAGGUGAGCACUGCCCUGGGGGGGCUGGUGGGGAGGGAGCUAUGGAUGCCCUGGGCUCCCCAGCUGCCUGCCCAUGGCAGAGGGUUGUCCAGCUGCAGCCGCU